rnacentral:rRNA from 1 species
UACGUAGGGGGCAAGCGUUGUCCGGAUUUAUUGGGCGUAAAGAGCGUGUAGGCGGCCUGACAGGUCUGCUGUGAAAACUCGAGGCUCAACCUCGAGAUGUCGGCGGAAACCGUCUGGCUAGAGUCCGGAAGAGGAGAGUGGAAUUCCUGGUGUAGCGGUGAAAUGCGCAGAUAUCAGGAAGAACACCGAUGGCGAAGGCAGGUCUCUGGGCCACUACUGACGCUGAGAAGCGAGAGCAUGGGGAGCGAACAGG